CCGGAGGAAGGUGGGAUGACGUCAAGUCCUCAUGGCCUUUAUGUCUAGGGCUACACACGUACUACAAUGGCCGGUACAAAGGGCAGCCACUCAGCGAUGAGGCGCUAAUCCCAUAAAGCCGGUCUCAGUCCGGAUCGCAGUCUGCAACUCGACUGCGUGAAGUUGGAAUCGCUAGUAAUCGUAGAUCAGCAUGCUACGGUGAAUACGUUCCCGGGCCUU
rnacentral:rRNA from 1 species